GAUGAACGCUGGCGGCGUGCCUAAUACAUGCAAGUCGAGCGAACGGACGAGAAGCUUGCUUCUCUGAUGUUAGCGGCGGACGGGUGAGUAACACGUGGAUAACCUACCUAUAAGACUGGGAUAACUUCGGGAAACCGUAGCUAAUACCGGAUAAUAUUUUGAACCGCAUGGUUCAAAAGUGAAAGACGGUCUUGCUGUCACUUAUAGAUGGAUCCGCGCUGCAUUAGCUAGUUGGUAAGGUAACGGCUUACCAAGGCAACGAUGCAUAGCCGACCUGAGAGGGUGAUCGGCCACACUGGACCUGAGACACGGUCCAGACUCCUACGGGAGGCAGCAGUAGGGAAUCUUCCGCAAUGGGCGAAAGCCUGACGGAGCAACGCCGCGGGAGUGAUGAAGGUCUUCGGAUCGUAAAACUCUGUUAUUAGGGAAGAACAUAUGUGUAAGUAACUGUGCACAUCUUGACGGUACCUAAUCAGAAAGCCACGGCUAACUACGU
rnacentral:rRNA from 1 species